CUCAGUUGUAAUUCCAACUGUCUGGUAACCUCGUGAUCGAUUCAUUAAACUAUAAUAAUGUUUUAACCCUCUGCCUUUCCGCCUCGUACAGUUCCCGCUAUAGCAACAACAACCAUAUUAGACCAUGGAAGUGACCUGUUGGAGCUGGAAGAAAAAGGUGGAGCGCCCUGAUGCAUCAUCCUCGCCGUUUGACUUGCUGUUGUUGCUCCUCAAUGCCUUCAAGCUCUUGACGAGUCGCGAUUUGAUGUUAUUGUCGAUUUAUUAAGCUCCAAGAUUCAGUGGCGAUGUACGAUAUAACUGCAUAACACGGCGAUGACAUAUGACAAGAGCCUCAUCCUUG
rnacentral:sRNA from 1 species